GUCCCCUGGUGAAAGCUUGCAUUGGUUGCUCAGGCACUGGGAAGCUGUUUUUGUUUGGAGUGUGCUUGUGUGCAGCCUGUAGGAGGAUAGCUGAAAACCUGGUCUCCACCUGCUAAUCUGGUGGGCAGAUGCCAUGGUGGAGAGAAACCUGGUAUGCAGAAGAUGAAGACAUAGCACAAUGUAAGUCAUGUCCUAUAGAUCUACAUCACCUGUAAGGCAUGAGAUCCCAGCAUGUGCUUCUGAACUCACAUGGGAUUCUGAAGGUGCAGCAAACAUGGAUGGGAUCUCUAGAGGAGUGGGCACCCAAAAUAUAUGCUUCCUGACCAUGCAGGCGAGAGUGGAAAAUUGUUAGUAUUUAGAUUUAUGUAUAUGGUAAUAUGAUUUAAACAUGCUUUGUUCACAUAUUUCUAUCUAAUGAAGUUAUCUUCCUGUCCUAAUGAGGUGGGUAACAAUAUGUCUCACUGUCACUGUUUUGGAGAUUUUGCUGAACUUGGUGAACUUGCUGUACUCUGGCCUGGACAGAAAAGAAAAGAGAAACUUAAACUUCUUGGUUUCCUUGUUCUGCCUUCCUAUUGUGAUGGGAAAAGACAACAUAGAGUAGAAAUUAACAAAAGAAUCUCUGGAGUGAGGCAUUCUGAAAUUUUAUUGAAGCUCUAAAACUUAACAGCUAUGGAAAUGGGUA
rnacentral:sRNA from 1 species